GUGAGGAAUUUUGCGCAAUGGGGGCAACCCUGACGCAGCGACGCCGCGUGGAGGACGAAGUCUUUCGGGAUGUAAACUCCUGUCAGUGGGGACGAUAAUGACGGUACCCACAGAGGAAGCACCGGCUAACUCCGUGCCAGCAGCCGCGGUAAGACGGAGGGUGCAAGCGUUGUUCGGAAUUACUGGGCGUAAAGCGUAGGUAGGCGGCAAGUUAAGUUCAAUGUUAAAGCCCACGGCUCAACCGAGGAGAUGCAUUGAAUACUGGCUAGCUAGAGGGUGUUAGAGGAAGACGGAAUUCCCAGUGUAGCGGUGACAUGCGUAGAUAUUGGGAGGAACAUCGGUAGCGAAAGCGGUCUUCUGGGACAUACCUGACGCUGAGGUACGAAAGCGUGGGGAGCAAACGGGAUUAGAUACCCCUGUAGUCC
rnacentral:rRNA from 1 species